rnacentral:sRNA from 1 species
GCUUCUCAAAGCUUUGAUGGUUUGGCCAAAGUCCAUAUGAGUUCUUAUCUUUGUAUCUUCUAACAAUGAAACACUACUUAGGCCUUUAGGAUAAGGUUGCGGUAUAAGUUCUUAUACUCAAUCAUACACAUGACAUCAAGUCAUAUUCGACUCCAAAACACUAACCAAGCUUCUUCUUGCUUCUCAAAGCUUUGAUGGUUUAGCCGAAGUCCAUAUGAGUCUUUGUAUUUGUAUCUUCUAACAAGGAAACACUACUUAGGCUUUUAGGAUAAGAUUGUGGUUUAAGUUCUUAUACUCAAUCAUACACAUGACAUCAAGUCAUAGUCGACUCCAAAAAACUAACCAAGCUUCUUCUUGCUUCUCAAAGCAUUGAUGGUUUAGCCAAAGUCCAUAUGAUUCUUUAUCUUUGUAUCUUCUAACAAGGAAACACUACUUAGGCUUUUAGGAUAAGGUUGCGGUUUAAGUUGUUAUACUCAAUCAUACAUAUGGCAUCAAGUCAUAUUCGACUCCAAAACACUAACCAAGCUUCUUCUUGCUUCUAAAAGCUUUGAUGGUUUAGCCAAAGUCCAUAUGAUUCUUUAUCUUUGUAUCUUCUAACAAGGAAACACUACUUAGGCUUUUAGGAUAAGGUUGCGGUUUAAGUUGUUAAUGUCAAUCAUACAUAUGGCAUCAAGUCAUAUUCGACUCCAAAACACUAACCAAGCUUCUUCUUGCUUCUAAAAGCUUUGAUGGUUUAGUCGAAGUCCAUAUGAGUCUUUGUCUUUGUAUCUUCUAACAAGGAAACACUACUUAGGCUUUUAGGAUAUGGUUGCGGUUUAAGUUCUUAUACUCAAUCAUACACAUGACUUCAAGUCAUAUUCGACUCCAAAACACUAACCAAGCUUCUUCUGGCUUCUCAAAGCUUUGAUGGUUUCGCCGAAGUCCAUUUGAGUCUUUAU